rnacentral:piRNA from 1 species
UAAAAUGGCCAAUCAGGUGGCGGCAUCAGG